UCACGAUGAGUUCGCUCUGCUUUUUUAAGAGAAUCUCUCUUCAAUUAUGUGCCUCACCCAUUUGUGUUCUGAUCAUCUUCAUAAUUGUGCUAUAUUGCUACUCUACACAGCUAUUCUUCUUUGGUGCUUCUCACUCAAUUCUCACCCUGCUUCUUCUCAAGCACGCUACUCCUAUCUCAUAGGCCACAUCUCCGAUUUCUUUGCUUCCAAACAUGGACGCCUCUCAGGCGGUUUCAGAUAAAUGAGAAGAUCUACGUCAUCAAUAGAAAGAUUUGAAUUGCUUAAAUCUUAUUUGGAAUGGUUGUUGCAAGAUUUCAUUUUAGUUUCUUAUUAAAGUCACUUUAUUAAAUAAGGAAACUUUUUUUUAUACCUGAAUAAAAUUAGAGAACUGAAAUUUUAUACAACGUUAAUGGAUAAAAUAUUGUACAGUUUUGUCUUAUUAUUAAUAUUAUUAUUAUGAUGGGUCACACUUAGCUUAUUUAUAUAAGUUACUUCAAAUUAAAAGUAUCUUGUUCCCCUAAUCGCUUUUGUUAAUCAAAUUUCACAAAAUAAAAAUGGAAAUGGAAAAAUUGGUAGAUUAAUUAGUAAUUUUACUAUCGAUCUCAUAUUUGUUAUCUUCCCUGAAGUUUCUUUCUUUAUUAUAGUUUGUGUGCGGUGAUAUCUCCGUGAAUGUUCAUGGCAGAUGGCUUCUCCAUUUUUCGUGCUUCCAAACAGUUGGCUAACUUGAAUUGCAUGCAUACCAUUUUGAGAUUCUUACAAGAUAAAAAAUGGAAGGGCAAGGUGGUCUUUGAUCCAUUACAGAGAAGCACUAGCUCAUAAUCCAAGGAACUCUCAUAUAAUAGAAAAAUCAAAAAGGUUUUUCUGCUUCUUUCAUAUUGGAAUUUUCUUUGAAAUAAUUAUAUCUUUCUUCUACCAUUUCUGGUAGUAUUUUCUUAACUAGUCCAAAAAUAUGGAACCAUUCAUGGAACCAUUUUGGAAAAGUAUUUGGACACUUCUGGUCGAACCAGAAAAACCAGGAGUGAUUAUAAUUUUUGUAAUAUAAAACAUUGAACCGGGCUUCUUUAUAAUCAUAAUAAUUAUAAACCUGAUCCUUGUAAUUUUUAGGAAAUUUUUUUGCUGUAUACGGAGAAUACCCCCAAGUGGUGGGAGUAAGAACUUGUAAUAUUUUUAUUUGACUGUAUGGAUUUCCUUCAGACUCUUUGUGUGUAAUACUUAUGGACUUGGAAGCGACAAGAAUAUAUUCAUAAUAUAUUCUGUCCUUUUUUGAAUGUUGUGGAAUAAAAUUUCAAUUUCCUUCAAUGGGAUGAGUAGGAAAUA